rnacentral:rRNA from 1 species
AUUGAACGCUGGCGGCAGGCUUAACACAUGCAAGUCGAGCGGAGUGAUGGUGCUUGCACUAUCACUUAGCGGCGGACGGGUGAGUAAUGCUUAGGAAUCUGCCUAUUAGUGGGGGACAACAUCUCGAAAGGGAUGCUAAUACCGCAUACGUCCUACGGGAGAAAGCAGGGGAUCACUUGUGACCUUGCGCUAAUAGAUGAGCCUAAGUCGGAUUAGCUAGUUGGUGGGGUAAAGGCCUACCAAGGCGACGAUCUGUAGCGGGUCUGAGAGGAUGAUCCGCCACACUGGGACUGAGACACGGCCCAGACUCAUACGGGAGGCAGCAGUGGGGAAUAUUGGACAAUGGGGGGAACCCUGAUCCAGCCAUGCCGCGUGUGUGAAGAAGGCCUUAUGGUUGUAAAGCACUUUAAGCGAGGAGGAGGCUCUUUUGGUUAAUACCCAAGAUGAGUGGACGUUACUCGCAGAAUAAGCACCGGCUAACUCUGUGCCAGCCGCCGCCGUAAAAC